CAGCAGCCACGGGAAUACGAAGGGUGCAAGCGUUAAUCGGAAUUACUGGGCGUAAAGCGUGCGUAGGCGGUGAGUUAAGUCCGCUGUGAAAUCCCCGGGCUCAACCUGGGAAUGGCAGUGGAUACUGGCUCGCUAGAGUGUGUCAGAGGAUGGUGGAAUUACCGGUGUAGCAGUGAAAUGCGUAGAGAUCGGAAGGAACAUCUGUGGCGAAGGCGACUAUCUGGGCCAACACUGACACUGAGGCACGAAAGCGUGGGGAGCAAACAGGAUUAGAGACCCGUGUAGUCCCUGUCUCUUAUAC
rnacentral:rRNA from 1 species